AAGACUAUACUUUUAGGGAGCAUUUCUAUAGUUCCUUACUAGAGAAGUUUCUCUGAUCAUGUGGAAUAACUGAAACCACAAGGAAGAGUGGCUGGCUUUUGUUGUUGUUUUGCUGCAAAUGCCUAUUGCCAUUGAUGAUCGUUCUUCUCUCCUUUUUUUGGAGAGCAAAACAAAGGAACGCUGCCUGUGUGGU
rnacentral:snoRNA from 1 species